UGCCGAGGUUCUUAUUGAUUUAGAUUUUUUUCUAUCUCUUCUUUUUUACACCUCUCUUCUUAUUGUCUAAUUAUUCUCUUCUUUUCCUUAUUAGAAUUAGUCCUAAAAUAGUAAGAACAAGUCUAAUUUUAGAACAAGGGCCUAGAAAGAGAUAUAAGGAAGAUAAGAAGACAAAAAAGGUAGAGAUAGGAAGGCUAGGAGGAG
rnacentral:lncRNA from 1 species